UACGUAGGGAGCGAGCGUUGUCCGGAAUUACUGGGUGUAAAGGGAGCGUAGGCGGGGAUGCAAGUUGGGUGUCAAAACUACCGGCUCAACUGGUAGUCGCACUCAAAACUGCAGCUCUUGAGUGAAGUAGAGGCAGGCGGAAUUCCUAGUGUAGCGGUGAAAUGCGUAGAUAUUAGGAGGAACACCAGUGGCGAAGGCGGCCUGCUGGGCUUUUACUGACACUGAGGCUCGAAAGCGUGGGGAGCAAACAGG
rnacentral:rRNA from 1 species